rnacentral:rRNA from 1 species
GACAGGGGAUGCAAGCGUUACUCGGAAUUACUGGGCGUAAAGCGUCUGCAGGUUUCUUUCCACGUCUGGUGUAAAAGCACUGGAGCUCAACUCCGUGUACGUGCCGGAAACGAGAGAGAUAGAGUCAUUCAGAGGCAUCUGGAAUGUCGUGUGUAGGGGUAAAAUCCGUAGAUCCACGAUGGAACGCCAAAAGCGAAGGCAGGAUGCUGGGGAUGUACUGACACUCAGAGGCGAAAGCGUGGGGAGCAAAGGGG